UGGGGAAUAUUGCACAAUGGGCGCAAGCCUGAUGCAGCAACGCCGCGUGCGGGAAGAAGGCCCUAGGGUUGUAAACCGCUUUCAGCAGGGAAGAAAAUGACGGUACCUGCAGAAGAAGGUGCGGCCAACUACGUGCCAGCAGCCGCGGUGACACGUAGGCACCAAGCGUUGUCCGGAUUUAUUGGGCGUAAAGAGCUCGUAGGCGGUUCAGUAAGUCGGGUGUGAAAACUCUGGGCUCAACCCAGAGAGGCCACCCGAUACUGCUGUGACUUGAGUACGGUAGGGGAGCGGGGAAUUCCUGGUGUAGCGGUGAAAUGCGCAGAUAUCAGGAGGAACACCAGUGGCGAAGGCGCUGCUCUGGGCUGUAACUGACGCUGAGGAGCGAAAGCAUGGGUAGCAAACAGGAAUUAGAUACCCUGGUAGUCCAUGCCGUAAACGUUGGGCACUAGGUGUGGGUCUCAACCAACGAGAUCCGCGCCGUCGCUAACGCAUUAAGUGCCCCGCCUGGGAGUACGGUCGCAAGACUAAAACUCAAAGG
rnacentral:rRNA from 1 species